CCUACGGGGUGCAGCAGUGAGGAAUAUUGGUCAAUGGACGAGAGUCUGAACCAGCCAAGUAGCGUGAAGGAUGACUGCCCUAUGGGUUGUAAACUUCUUUUAUAAAGGAAUAAAACGAGGCACGUGUGCCUUUUUGCAUGUACUUUAUGAAUAAGGAUCGGCUAACUCCGUGCCAGCAGCCGCGGUAAUACGUAGGGGGCAAGCGUUAUCCGGAUUUACUGGGUGUAAAGGGAGCGUAGACGGCAAGGCAAGCCAGAAGUGAAAGGGCAGGGCUCAACCCUGUACAUGCUUUUGGAACUGUGGUGCUAGAGUGCAGGAGAGGUAAGUGGAAUUCCUAGUGUAGCGGUGAAAUGCGUAGAUAUUAGGAGGAACACCAGUGGCGAAGGCGGCUUACUGGACUGUAACUGACGUUGAGGCUCGAAAGCGUGGGGAGCAAACAGGAUUAGAUACCCGUGUAGUC
rnacentral:rRNA from 1 species